CUACGUGCCAGCAGCCGCGGUAAUACGGAGGGUGCGAGCGUUAAUCGGAAUAACUGGGCGUAAAGGGCACGCAGGCGGCUAUUUAAGUGAGGUGUGAAAUCCCCGGGCUUAACCUGGGAAUUGCAUUUCAGACUGGGUAGCUAGAGUACUUUAGGGAGGGGUAGAAUUCCACGUGUAGCGGUGAAAUGCGUAGAGAUGUGGAGGAAUACCGAAGGCGAAGGCAGCCCCUUGGGAAUGUACUGACGCUCAUGUGCGAAAGCGUGGGGAGCAAACAGGAUUAGAUACCCUGGUAGUCCACGCUGUAAACGCUGUCGAUUUGGGGAUUGGGCCUUGAGCUUGGUGCCCGAAGCUAACGUGAUAAAUCGACCGCCUGGGGAGUACGGCCGCAAGGUUAAAACUCAAAUGAAUUGACGGGGGCCCGCACAAGCGGUGGAGCAUGUGGUUUAAUUCGAUGCAACGCGAAGAACCUUACCUACUCUU
rnacentral:rRNA from 1 species